UUAAUUGAAUCCCAAGAAAUCUCCUCAUACUACUAAUACUAUCAACACCAAGAAAUCUCAAUCGAAUCCCAAUACUGCUGUUUCCAAGUAUAGCGAAAGGAGAGGUGUAACGCAUCUGUUUCGGAGUAUAGCUCAUUCUUCGUUACCAAACCCUAGCUCCAAGUCCACUACCAUCUUCGUCAUUGCCGUCCCCAAUUACUUCUCCUUUGAUGAUUUCAUCCGAUUUUGUGGCUCUCGAAUCGAUCAUAUCACUGAGCUUGUCUUCAUAAGGAACGAUGGGAUGGAUGAUCGAUACAGCGUUAUAAUUAGGCUUAUGAAUCAGGUGACGUCUGAUGGAUUUUAUUGCAGUCUCAAUGGGAAGAAAUUCUCACCCGGAGAGGCUGAGGUUUGUCACAUUCUGUUUCUGCAUUCGGUGGAUUACACAGAAUCAGCUGAGAUAGCUGGGACACCACCAGAUGGGUCCGCUGAGUUACCAACAUGCCCUGUUUGCCUUGGUUUUUAUUUUUGUUAACU